CGGCCUCGGACCGCCCCAGUAUGUGGCACAGGUGACUUCAAGGGAUGGCCGGCUCCUCUCCACCGUCAUCCGUGCCUUGGACACACCGAGUGACGGUCCCUUCUGCCGGAUCUGCCAUGAGGGAGCGAACGGGGAGUGCUUGCUGUCCCCGUGUGGCUGCACGGGCACACUGGGUGCCGUGCACAAGAGCUGUCUGGAGAGGUGGCUUUCCUCAUCUAACACCAGCUACUGCGAGCUGUGCCACACGGAGUUUGCAGUGGAGAAACGGCCUCGACCCCUCACAGAGUGGCUGAAGGACCCGGGGCCGCGGACGGAGAAGCGGACACUGUGCUGCGACAUGGUGUGUUUCCUGUUCAUCACGCCACUGGCCGCCAUCUCAGGCUGGUUGUGCCUGCGCGGGGCCCAGGACCACCUCCGGCUCCACAGCCAGCUGGAGGCUGUGGGUCUCAUUGCCCUCACCAUCGCCCUCUUCACCAUCUAUGUCCUCUGGACACUGGUGAGUGGCCGCAAUCGCGCAGCAU
rnacentral:sRNA from 1 species